CUUUCUAUGGAAGCUUGCUUCCACUGAGAAGAUAGUGGCGAACGGGUGAGUAACACGUGGGUAACCUGCCCAUAAGAGGGGGAUAACAUCCGGAAACGGGUGCUAAUACCGCAUAGUUUUCUUGAUUGCAUGAUUGAGAAAGGAAAGACGGCCUUUGUGCUGUCGCUUAUGGAUGGACCCGCGGCGUAUUAGUUAGUUGGUGAGGUAACGGCUCACCAAGACGAUGAUACGUAGCCGACCUGAGAGGGUGAUCGGCCACAUUGGGACUGAGACACGGCCCAAACUCCUACGGGAGGCAGCAGUAGGGAAUCUUCCGCAAUGGACGAAAGUCUGACGGAGCAACGCCGCGUGAGUGAAGAAGGUUUUCGGAAUCGUAAAACUCUGUUGUCAGAGAAGAACAAGUUGGAGAGUAACUGCUCCAGCCUUGACGGUAUCUGACCAGAAAGCCACGGCUAACUACGUGCCAGCAGCAGC
rnacentral:rRNA from 1 species